UGCGUAGGUGGCUUCGUAUGUCGGAUGUGAAAGCCCACGGCUCAACCGUGGAAUUGCAUCCGAAACUGCGGAGCUAGAGUGCAAGAGGGGAGAGCGGAAUUCUUGGUGUAGUGGUGAAAUGCGUUGAUAUCAAGAAGAACACCGGUGGCGAAGGCGGCUCUCUGGAAUGCUACUGACACUGAGGCACGAAAGUUGGGGGAGCAAACAGGAUUAGAUACCCUGGUAGUCC
rnacentral:rRNA from 1 species